CGAUAAUACAUAUUUGACUUUACAUCUCAUUCUAAGAAUUUAAGGUUUUUUGUUUUUUAGUGAUCCGUUUCAAAAGGUCUGACAAAGACUGAAUGGAACGAUAGCCGAAGCAACUUCUCCGACAAGAAACAAGGUGGUGGUCAACAAAAAGAUUUCUGGAGCCUUAUCUGUGAUGACAGUUGCCUGCUGUGACCUUUAAGCAACACUAUUAGGAGAGCCGUGAGACUGAACCAGUUGGGCAGAGCGGGAAGAGCGCCAUGCUGUGACCUGCACUGGACAAACACUGACUGACCUCCUGCCAAAAUGUCUCUCUCUCUCUCCGUCCCUCGCUGUCCUUCACUGACUCUCACUCUUGGAAAAGUGCCGUAAAAAGUCACAGAUGUCCUGUUAUUUUCUUCAACUUCCUUUGUGUCUCUUCUUCCACGCCCUCUUCUCCUCCCCUCUUUUCUUCUCCUCUCCACAUCUGGGGAGUGAGCGACCAGAUGUGCGCAGUCAUAGCCGUAGAAUAAAGAAUCUGCAGAAUGACCGGAAACAGAUGCUGAAAUAAUGAAGGGAAACUAGUUAAAUGUGCAAAAGCCACAAAUAAUGGCAGACAACUCCACUAUGGACGUUAGGGUUUUAAAUGGGUGUGAUAUUUUUCUGACCACUAGAUGGUAGAUGACGCCUGUGGUCAGUAUUAAACGGUCCUAUAGUACCUGAGACCUGAAUAUACACUAUCUUUUUGGAAAUUUGAUUGAGACUUUUAUUAGUAGAUUGCACAGUACAGUACAUAUUCUGUACA